CUGGGCAUCUCUGAGGAGACGCUGCGGGAGCUCGACCUGUUCAUUUUGGAAAAGAGAAGACUGAGAGGGGAUCUCAUUAAUGCAUAUAAAUAUAUCAAAAGCGGGUGCCAAGACCAAGGUGUCAGAGUCUUUUCGGCGAGGCCCAGCGACAGGACAGGGAACAGUGGCCAUAAACUAAAUCAGAAAUUUCACCAAGAAGUUCCUCUCAGCAUAGAAAGAGAAAGAGAAAGGUAUUUCUUUAGACAGGACUGCAAUGGAGGAAAAUCAGGUGUGGUAAAGCCUUCAACCUGAGCAUCUUCUACAGUAAAAUCUGCUGCCAUAUGGAUUCUUUCAGCAGGUAUAUUAAGAUUAGUGGGGGAGAAAAGAGUAAAGGUUGCCUGAAGCCUGAGGCUGCCUGGUGUUGUGACAGUUCAGUAGUAGGGGACAUACCCUUGGUCUCCUCUCUGUAAGUAUGGAGUGCAACAAUUCACAGAGAGCAGUGCUCUUCAAGCAGGGCAAAUCUGCCUCUCAAAGGUGCCUCAUUAUGCCUUGGGGCAUGAUACACCCUGGUGUUUUAAUCAAGUGCUUGGGACUUAAUGCAAAUGUGUACUAUGUUUAAAUUAAAAACAAAAUUAGCCUUCACAUGUGCAAUAAAGCUGCAGUUCUUGGUUCUGUCAUCAUUUUGCCAAAAUAUUUAUUAAUUACAACAGUGUUUGACAGUGUUGCAGACUGAAAAAGAUUAAUUUAAUAGAAAUCUCUCUCGUAAUGGUCCUACAUGGCCUAGGUAUGAGACUUGUUCCAACAACAAAAGUGAUGCAAUAGAAACGCUCAUGUAAUUUUGAGCUGAUAAAAAAGGAUAAAUAUAAUUAGUCAACAAAGGAACAAUAGUGGAUUAGCCUAUAGUGAUAGUGGUAUUAAUGCUGAGAAGGCUGUGGAAACCAAAACCACUAGAGUUUCUCUUACUGGUGUACCUAUGAAAGGUUUUAACCCUAUACAGACCUCCCAGUUUUCUUCUCAACCAUCAGUUUCUGUUGAAAACCAUUGCUUACAUAAGCUUUGGAGAUAGAAAUUUGAUCUAAGUCUACAUCCUCAAAUAGCAAGACAACUUGUCACCUGGACUACAGUUAAAAUUGUAUUUAAAAUCCACUGAAAUGCUAUUUAAGAAUUUGUAUUAGUGUUUCCAAGUAUAUAUUCUCCAGUCCACUUUGCUAUUCCUGUUUCUGUUUAGAAUGGCAUCACUGAGCUUCUGAGCAAAUAGAAGGCAAGGAUAAAUUUGCUUUUUCUUGCUUAUGUGUCAUUUUCCAUAUGAAAACAUACAUAUAAGGGGACAGACUGCGAAAGUUUUCUCUUUGCUUAAUUAUUAGAUCCAUUAAUGCAUCUGCACUCUGAAACUGCUAAUACCUUAUUAUAAAGGGAAUAUGCAUUGGUAAGGAUUCUGUGUCUUUGAAACUUGGUUUUAGUAAUUUAAACUCUGAGAUGUCUGUCUUCUUUUAUUAAAAAUCCACUUUUGUUCCCUUUUUCUAAUCAAAGAAA